UACGGGGGGAGCAAGCGUUGUUCGGAUUUACUGGGCGUAAAGGGCGCGUAGGCGGCAUGACAAGUCACUUGUGAAAUCUCCGGGCUUAACUCGGAACGGUCAAGUGAUACUGUCGUGCUAGAGUACAGAAGGGGCAACUGGAAUUCUCGGUGUAGCGGUGAAAUGCGUAGAUAUCGCUUGGAACGCCGAAGGUGAAAAACAGACUGCUGGGGGUUGCGCCGACGCUGAGACACGAAAAGCCCAGGGGGAGCAAAACGGGG
rnacentral:rRNA from 1 species